rnacentral:tRNA from 2 species
GGGGAUAUAGCUCAGCUGGGAGAGCGCUUGAAUGGCAUUCAAGAGGCCAGCGGUUCGAUCCCGCUUAUCUCCACCA